rnacentral:tRNA from 1 species
GCCUUCGUGGUGUAGAGGUCAGUACGUCGGCGCGUAACGGUGAGCUCCGUGGUUCGAUUCCCGGCGAGGGCA